ACUGCUCAGUAACACGUGGAUAACCUGCCCUUGGGACCGGCAUAACCCCGGGAAACUGGGGAUAAUUCCGGAUACCGCAUAUAUGCUGGAAUGCUUUAUGCGUGAAAUGGAUUCGUCUGCCCAAGGAUGGGUCUGCGGCCUAUCAGGUAGUAGUGGGUGUAAUGUACCUACUAGCCUACAACGGGUACGGGUUGUGAGAGCAAGAGCCCGGAGAUGGAUUCUGAGACAUGAAUCCAGGCCCUACGGGGCGCAGCAGGCGCGAAAACUUUACAAUGCGGGAAACCGUGAUAAGGGGACGCCGAGUGCCAGCAUCAUAUGCUGGCUGUCCAGGUGUGUAAAAUACACCUGUUAGCAAGGGCCGGGCAAGACCGGUGCCAGCCGCCGCGGUAACACCGGCGGCCCGAGUGGUGAUCGUGAUUAUUGGGUCUAAAGGGUCCGUAGCCGGUUUGGUCAGUCCUCCGGGAAAUCUGACAGCUCAACUGUUAGGCUUUCGGGGGAUACUGCCAGACUUGGAACCGGGAGAGGUAAGAGGUACUACAGGGGUAGGAGUGAAAUCUUGUAAUCCCUGUGGGACCACCUGUGGCGAAGGCGUCUUACCAGAACGGGUUCGACGGUGAGGGACGAAAGCUGGGGGCACGAACCGGAUUAGAUACCCGGGUAGUCCCAGCCGUAAACGAUGCUCGCUAGGUGUCAGGCAUGGCGCGACCGUGUCUGGUGCCGCAGGGAAGCCGUGAAGCGAGCCACCUGGGAAGUACGGCCGCAAGGCUGAAACUUAAAGGAAUUGGCGGGGGAGCAC
rnacentral:rRNA from 1 species